CCUUUUCUCUUCUCUUCUUCUUCUUCUUCUUCUUCUUCUUCCCCUUCACCGUCAAGCUUCUUCUCUCCCACUCUUUCUCCACACUUUGGGUGGAACGUGUACGAGAUGGGAAUGGGACGAAAGAUAGAUGCAGAGCCAGGAAGAUGUAGAAGAACUGAUGGCAAGAAAUGGAGAUGCUCCAAAGAAGCUUUUCCUGACUCCAAGUACUGUGAGAGGCAUAUGCACAGAGGCAAGAACCGUUCAUCCUCAAGAAAGCCUCUUCCACUUACUCCUCAACUCACGCCAAAUCUCUUUCUCGAGUCUUCUCUCUCUUCUUCCAGGGUAAGUAGAAGAAGAAGAAGUGGAUACAUGGAUGAUUUCUUCU